UACGGAGGGGGCAAGCGUUAUUCGGAAUUAUUGGGCGUAAAGGGCGCGUAGGCGGCUAGAUGUGUCAAAGGUGAAAUCCCUCGGCUCCACUGAGGAACUGCCUUUGAAACUGUCUGGCUUGAGGCCGGGAGAGGGUAGCGGAAUUCCCAGUGUAGCGGUGAAAUGCGUAGAUAUUGGGAGGAACACCAGUGGCGAAGGCGGCUACCUGGACCGGUUCUGACGCUGAGGCGCGAAAGCGUGGGUAGCAAACAGG
rnacentral:rRNA from 1 species